GCCAGACUCCUACGGGAGGCAGCAGUGAGGAAUAUUGGUCAAUGGUCGGGAGACUGAACCAGCCAAGCCGCGUGAGGGAUGAAGGUACAGAGUAUCGUAAACCUCUUUUGUCAGGGAACAAAGGCGGGGACGUGUCCCCGGAUGAGUGUACCCGAAGAAAAAGCAUCGGCUAACUCCGUGCCAGCAGCCGCGGUAAUACGGAGGAUGCGAGCGUUAUCCGGAUUUAUUGGGUUUAAAGGGUGCGUAGGCGGGUUAUCAAGUCAGCGGUAAAAUGGUGGGGGUCAACCUCGCUCCGCCGUUGAAACUGGCGUUCUUGAGUGGGCGAGAAGUAUGCGGAAUGCGUGGUGUAGCGGUGAAAUGCAUAGAUAUCGCGCAGAACUCCGAUUGCGAAGGCAGCAUGCCGGCGCCACGCUGACGCUGAGGCACGAAAGCGUGGGUAUCGAACAGGAUUAGAUACCCGCGUAAC
rnacentral:rRNA from 1 species